CUACGGGAGGCAGCAGUGGGGAAUAUUGCACAAUGGGCGCAAGCCUGAUGCAGCCAUGCCGCGUGUAUGAAGAAGGCCUUCGGGUUGUAAAGUACUUUCAGCGGGGAGGAAGGGAGUAAAGUUAAUACCUUUGCUCAUUGACGUUACCCGCAGAAGAAGCACCGGCUAACUCCGUGCCAGCAGCCGCGGUAAUACGGAGGGUGCAAGCGUUAAUCGGAAUUACUGGGCGUAAGGCGCACGCAGGCGGUUUGUUAAGUCAGAUGUGAAAUCCCCGGGCUCAACCUGGGAACUGCAUCUGAUACUGGCAAGCUUGAGUCUCGUAGAGGGGGGUAGAAUUCCAGGUGUAGCGGUGAAAUGCGUAGAGAUCUGGAGGAAUACCGGUGGCGAAGGCGGCCCCCCGGACGAAGACUGACGCUCAGGUGCGAAAGCGUGGGGAGCAAACAGGAUUAGAUACCCUUGUAGUC
rnacentral:rRNA from 1 species